UGGAGCAGCACCGCGGCCUGGAGAUCAGGGCAGGGCAGCUACCGCCGCCGCCGCCGCAGGCCUGGGUUACCUGAGCAACUGCGUGUCAGGGGCCCACCCGCGGGCGGGCGGUUAGCGCGGGAGACUAUCCGGAGGAACUAGGGAGGCAGGGUCCUGACCUUUGGUUUGGGACCGGGGUCCUGGAGGAGACCAGCAUAGGCUGGGGGGUCGGGAGACCCCAUCGGGGACUGGGGGAUCCGGGAAGCCUUUUCCAACAGGUUAUUCCGGGAUAAGCUCUGGCACUGGGGCGGGCCCGGGCUUCGCUGGGGGCCGGGCGGCGCGGGGCGGGCCUGCGGGAGAGCACGCCCCCGCCCGUCCCGGGCCCGCCCCGUGCCGCCCGCCGGCUGAGGAGCCGCUGUCCCGGGCCUGGCUGGUGUGCGUAUGCCUGCUGGACCCGGGCACCGCCGCCUGCCUGGGCACGGGACUGGGCGGAGGCGCUGACCUCGGCCUAGGAGGUUUAGGAUCCCGGAGACGCCGCUACCCGCUGGGGCCUGCGAGUCUCACGCCCUCCCCGAGCUUCUGCUCGCCGCUCCUUCGCGGGGCGAGGUCAGGUGUCCCCGUUCUCUUCUUUCCCUCCCCCACCUCGGUACCCGCGGGAGAUCCUGCCCGCCCCCUUUCUCAAGGGUGUAGCAGGCUGCGGAGCUGACGGCAGCCCCGCAGCCACCCUUCCCAAACUCUCCGGAAACCGCCCGAGCUCAGGCCGCUGCAGCUCCGGCGGACCCACUGUUGGACCAGAGGCCCGGUCCUCCUCCCGCGCCCAAACUUGGAGCACUUGACCUUUGACUGUCGGAGGAGGCAGGCCCGCAGGUGGCUGGACAGCUGCGGCCCUGGGAGGGCAUCUUGCCUGGGGACCGUCGGCUGCACUCCCGGACUCCGGGCUUUGCUUCUGGGAUUGCAAGGUGUCCACUUAAGGCGCAUGUGGAUUGAGACCUAGAGUCAUGGAUGUUUGCGCUCGUCUUGCCCUGUGGCUCCUCUGGGGGCUUCUCCUGCAUCAGGGCCAGAGCCUCAGUCAUAUUCAUAGCGAGAAGGCCACAGGAACCGGCUCAGGGGCCACUUCUGAGGAGUCCACUGCAGCAGGUAAG
rnacentral:lncRNA from 1 species